rnacentral:tRNA from 1 species
GGGGAAAUAGCUCAGUUGGUUAGAGUGCUGGUCUGUCACGCCAGAAGCCGCGGGUUCGAAUCCCGUUUUCCCCG